GAUCUAUACUAUCGUACACACAGUUUGGUAAUAGUUUAUAUAUGAUAUAUACUUUAUGUAUUUUGUUGAUAUAUUUGUUACUGUGUUUCAAAUACAUGUUCAUAUAUGUAACUAGUGUGUUAAAUAUCUAUAUAUAUUUCUAUUUUAUGUUAUAAUUUGAUUAUGUUUUCGGAUCGGAUCAUGUCAAUACGCCGUUUUCACAUAUACGUGUAUGAGGCGUGACAUUUGUGUUACCCGGUCCAGUUGCGAUGAUCGCAAUUUUGCGCUAGCAACGCCGUUGUUUUUUUUUAAUUCAUAUUUUUUUUAUAUACAUAUAUUUAGAUCUGCACAUUUUUUUCAUAACUAACUACCCUGAUUUUUCCUAAACCCUGACAAUUUCGUCACAAACUCUAAAUUUCAAACCUAAAACUUUAACCGUGUUGUUUCCUCUAAACCAUAAACCUUUUCUUAAACCUUAACAAACCUUAUUAUUAUUUCCUAUUUUCGCUCAUAUUUAUGUUAUUCAUACACUGUAACUGCUUCGCCCUUGUAAUAUUUUAAGUUUUAACUUGUAAUAUUUUCAGUUUUACUUUUCGCCAUCUUUAUUAUGUAACUGCACCAAAGCGUUGUAAUAAUUAGGGUUUUAUUUUCUGCCAUUUAUUUUCUGCCAUUUUAUUUUUCUGCCAUUUAUUUUUCUGCCAUUUAAAUUCCUGCCAUUGAUCCUAUAUUAACUGCGUGGUUUAGUAAUGUAGGGCGUGAAAACCUACUAAAUUAAUUAUUUAAUAUUUUUCUAUAACCUUUAUAUUUUUUGUAAAUAAAUAAUAAAUACUAACUAUUUUAAUAACUUUUUUUUUAUUACUUACUUAUAAUAAUAAAUCCUUAUAUAUUUUGUAAAUAAAAUCUAAUUGACCAUUUUUCUAAUUGAAU
rnacentral:lncRNA from 1 species